GAUGAACGCUGGCGGCGUGCCUAAUACAUGCAAGUCGAGCGAACGGACGAGAAGCUUGCUUCUCUGAUGUUAGCGGCGGACGGGUGAGUAACACGUGGAUAACCUACCUAUAAGACUGGGAUAACUUCGGGAAACCGUAACUAAUACCGGAUAAUAUUUUGAACCGCAUGGUUCAAAAGUGAAAGACGGUCUUGCUGUCACUUAUAGAUGGAUCCGCGCUGCAUUAGCUAGUUGGUAAGGUAACGGCUUACCAAGGCAACGAUGCAUAGCCGACCUGAGAGGGUGAUCGGCCACACUGGAGCUGAGACACGGUCCAGACUCCUACGGGAGGCAGCAGUAGGGAAUCUUCCGCAAUGGGCGAAAGCCUGACGGAGCAACGCCGCGUGAGUGAUGAAGGUCUUCGGAUCGUAAAACUCUGUUAUUAGGGAAGAACAUAUGUGUAAGUAACUGUGCACAUCUUGACGGUACCUAAUCAGAAAGCCACGGCUAACUACGUG
rnacentral:rRNA from 1 species